AUUGAACGCUGGCGGCAGGCCUAACACAUGCAAGUCGAGCGAGCGGCGGACGGGUGAGUACUGUCUGGGAAACUGCCUGAUGGAGGGGGAUAACUACUGGAAACGGUAGCUAAUACCGCAUACCAUCAGAUGUGCCCAGAUGGGAUUGGCUAGUAGGUGGGGUAACGGCUCACAUAGGCGACGAUCCCUCGCUGGUCUGCGAGGAUGACCAGCCACACUGGAACUGCGACACGGUCCAGACUCCUACGGGAGGCAGCAGUGGGGAAUAUUGCACAAUGGGCGCAAGCCUGAUGCAGCAAUGCCGCGUGUGUGAAGAAGGCCUUCGGGUUGUAAAGCACUUUCUGCGGGGAGGCGUUACCCGAAGAAGAAGCAACGGCUAACUCCGUGCCAGCAGCCGCGGUAAUAC
rnacentral:rRNA from 1 species